UGGCUAUUGACCAUCAAAGGGUCGCCUGAAUAUGACGUCGCUACACAACCUUUUUAAAAUGGAUGCUAGAAGGCAUCGAUGUCGUUCGUUCUCUUAAUACAUCCAUGAUGUCGUUAUAGCAUCAUGUCUCUCAGUAAAGGAAAACGAUUUGCCUGCAUCAACCCCAAGCAGAACAUUUCUGACUUUCCUGCUUUGAAGGACUGUCUGCCAGGCAGGUAUGAUUACCAUGUAUGUGAUUAUAAAACAUUAAGUGAGACAGGUGAUCAUAUUAACUAUAGGGCCAUUCUUCGGUUGGCCUUGUACACAGAGUAUGAUAUAAAGCUGUGGCUGAAAAGUCACACAGUCACCUGGAGGGUGGACCGAACAUAUCCAAGAAAGGGCCAGAAAGUUCUUUUCAAGGUGGACUUCAGAUGCCAACGCAAUACGAGACCUCGCAAAGAAAACGCGGCAGGCAGAAGAAGCCAGAUUACAAACUGCUCUGCUAAAAUGACUGUGACACUCCUACGCACUCAAGUGAGCAGAGGCAGGCAGAGUCUGUAAAAGCAAGGACCCUCACGUGCCUACCUUCCCCACAAUCGUGUCCAUCUGCAGUGACCACAACCACAACGUCUACGUGGCUGAUGCACUGAGCCACUGUGAUGUUGGGAAUGACACAAAAGCUAAACUGAACAAGCUUUUUGAAGCAGGACGCUGCCCAAGUUCAGCCUUAGAUGAGAUGAAGUACGAUCUAUCCCUGCAGACCCUAUCUUGCCAAUCCCCGUCUUUAUCACAUCAAGAUGCUGCAGCAGGAUUUGCGGAAAUGUGCCAGGAGCUGUCAGCCAUGGUCAACAGCGAUGCAUCUUUUACAGCCUCCUCAAUAGCUGCAGUAAAGGCCUUUAAAACAAUAAAAGACGAUCCGUCAAAGAUCAUGACAGCCUUACAUAUGUUUGGCUGCUCAAAAAACACUAGCUUGGCAUCUGUAAGAACUGUAGCCAUCCGUAGGGCAGCCAGGCAUGCUGGCUCUACUAUUCAUGCACAACCAACAGCAGUGGCGAGACGUCCUGCCAAGGUAACGGCAGGACCUGACCAUGUUUACAGCCAGCCAGCCAGUCAAGAGGGUCCGAACACAAGCUCCCCAUUAUCCGGCACACUCUGGGUCGGAGCGCAAAAGCCAGCCAGAAUGAAAGAAUGAAUUGUCAAUCUGUCAUCUUUCUAAAAACACACACACACACACACACACACACACACACACACAGUUUGUUUGUAUUUGGCUUCUUUAUUAAACACUUUUAAUGUGUUUAGUGUUUAAGUCUCAAUUGUUUCUUCUCACCCAGACUAAAGGUGCAGUAAGUGAUGCUGCACAAAGAUUGUUGGUAUUUGAACUCAACUGGCAAACAAAUACACCUCUCACAUCCAGAAAACAGUGUGGAAAGUGGGGACAGUAAUGUAAUCUGACAAUGUUUUUAUGGUUUAUGAAUUGGUUGUUGGCAGGCUUUUGCCUGGGAACCUAUUUAAGAAGCUACUGCACUGCUGUCCUAUUUGAACUGUGUUUUUUUUUGUUUCUUGAGCUAUGAGCAAAAAAGAAACAUAAGGAAACAGUUAGCUGCUAUCUUCCUCAGAGGUACAGUUACAUUGGUGUACUUCUCUCCCUUAGCAGACUAAGGAGGAGAGAGCACACAUGAGUGGAAGAUCACAGAGGCUAAGACUGAUGCUAGCUACGUUUGAAUUGAUUGCACAGAUUAUAAAGCUGUAAUGUUUUUGAAUUUAGAGUUAAUUGCAGUAAGUGGGUUUUGAGAGUUAAAAUGUGUACUUUCCUCCAUAUGUAAAGAUUCCUGUGUUUGAUAAUUUAUCUAUAUUUAACUCAACUAUAUUUGCCCAAUACUGUAUCUGUUUUUUUAAUUUUUUCAAAAUUAUUUUUUUAUGAUGUCUGCAUUUCAGAACAAAAACAAUAUAUCAUAAAUCAUUUUAGUAGCAAAAUUUUGCCAACAUAAAAGUUUAUUCUCUAACCGAAAACCUUUAAACGAUUUUUUUUGUGUGUGUGAAUGAAAUGCAACAAUACAUACAAAUUACAUUAGUUUCAUUGCCUGAAUUGCUACAUCCUUUUUUUCUUCUUCUUGGUAUUUAUUUACCACUUCCCCUGGUGUCUGUUGUUAUUUGUCAUUGCACUUGU